rnacentral:rRNA from 1 species
UACGGGGGGAGCAAGCGUUGUUCGGAUUUACUGGGCGUAAAGGGCGCGUAGGCGGCGUAACAAGUCACUUGUGAAAUCUCCGGGCUUAACCCGGAGCGGCCAAGUGAUACUGUUGUGCUAGAGUUCGGUAGGGGAGACUGGAAUUCCUGGUGUAGCGGUGAAAUGCGCAGAUAUCAGGAGGAACACCGGUGGCGAAGGCGGGUCUCUGGGCCGAUACUGACGCUGAGGAGCGAAAGCGUGGGGAGCGAACAGG